CAAACAGCAAUAUACUGAUGGGAAUUUCACAAAUAAUUAUAUAUAAUAAUCAUAGUAUGUUUCAGAAACCUGAGUGGGAAAACAAAUAAAAAAAUUAGCAAA